rnacentral:rRNA from 1 species
GAUGAACGCUGGCGGCGUGCUUGACACAUGCAAGUCGAACGGUGAAGCAGAGCUUGCUCUGUGGAUCAGUGGCGAACGGGUGAGUAACACGUGAGCAACCUGCCCUGGACUCUGGGAUAAGCGCUGGAAACGGCGUCUAAUACUGGAUACGAGACGUGGCCGCAUGGUCAACGUUUGGAAAGAUUUUUUGGUUCAGGAUGGGCUCGCGGCCUAUCAGCUUGUUGGUGAGGUAAUGGCUCACCAAGGCGUCGACGGGUAGCCGGCCUGAGAGGGUGACCGGCCCCACUGGGACUGAGACACGGCCCAGACUCCUACGGGAGGCAGCAGUGGGGAAUAUUGCACAAUGGGCGAAAGCCUGAUGCAGCAACGCCGCGUGAGGGAUGACGGCCUUCGGGUUGUAAACCUCUUUUAGCAAGGAAGAAGCGAAAGUGACGGUACUUGCAGAAAAAGCGCCGGCUAACUACGUGCCAGCAGCCGCAGUAAAAC